CACAUGCAAGUCGAACGGCAGCACAGAGGAGCUUGUUCCUUGGGUGGCGAGUGGCGGACGGGUGAGGAAUACAUCGGAAUCUACUCUGUCGUGGGGGAUAACGUAGGGAAACUUACGCUAAUACCGCAUACGACCUACGGGUGAAAGCAGGGGAUCUUCGGACCUUGCGCGAUUGAAUGAGCCGAUGUCGGAUUAGCUAGUUGGCGGGGUAAAGGCCCACCAAGGCGACGAUCCGUAGCUGGUCUGAGAGGAUGAUCAGCCACACUGGAACUGAGACACGGUCCAGACUCCUACGGGAGGCAGCAGUGGGGAAUAUUGGACAAUGGGCGCAAGCCUGAUCCAGCCAUACCGCGUGGGUGAAGAAGGCCUUCGGGUUGUAAAGCCCUUUUGUUGGGAAAGAAAUCCAGCCGGCUAAUACCUGGUUGGGAUGACG
rnacentral:rRNA from 1 species